GACUAGUUCCGUUUUGUAUCAGGCCUGGCAUGACCAGACCAGGGCCUCUUUCUAUUGAAACUACACAUUCUCCACUGCCAAUUUCUCUCAAAAAUAAUAAAAGACAGACUACUGUAUUUCAUGCACCACAGCGUUAGAAAAAAAUUACAAAUUUCCAGCUCCAAGCACCUUGCACAGCUUGAAGUAGUCCUUCGUCUUCGUCCAACCUGAAACAAAGAGGUCACCUUGUUUCUACAUCCACGCCUCUCGUUUUUAGUUUUUGUCACAUUGGCGAACUAGUGGUGGUUAACCUCCAGAGAAAGUGCAGUACUUUGUUUGGUAAAGAUAGUCCCCAUAUAUAGUUUCUUUCAUUAAAAAACCUGAUUAUCGGUAGCAGGAUUUGACGUUGUUGCCAAUCCUCGAAAUGAUUCAUGUGCUUUGCUUCUAUCUCGAGCCACUUUGUAGGCUGAUUUAACCGGGAAUAAGCCUCUUUUGUCAUAGUGCCAGGCAGGUUGAUCAUCAAAUUGAUCAUGGACCGGAAUUUUGAUGAUUUCCUGCCCAUCCCAUACAUUUGUCACUGGAUCAAUCAGCUCUUGUACUCUUGUCACCAAGUUUCUGUCAUUCCUUGAGAUCACCCUUGUAGAGAUGCCUCUCGGUCUUGAAAAAAAGCCCUUUCCACGCUUAACUGACCUCUUGAAGCACCACCCUUCCGUUUAUACACCAACCUGCCAUUAAAGCACCACCCUCCCGUUUGAGGCUUCAGAGUAUGUUAUUGGCGUGAUGCUGUAUGUAUUCUUCAACUUCUUUGAGACACAUGUAUCAUCUAUAUGUAGGCGCCCUUGGUAGAGUACAUUCCAGUUGGCAAGUGUUUCCACUUGAUUCCUUUGCAGUUCAAUCUGCCAAUGCCGCUCUUCUAGCUCACUGAAUUGAUGAGGAAUGAAAUGAUUAUGUAGAACCUGCAAGUUCUUGUAACUUGGUCUCCGGUCUGACAAUACAGCGAUCGAUUUGUCGUCACAGCUCCUCCUUGCACCAUCUUCUCAAGGUGCAUUCUCAGAAAGUGCCACAACAUCCAUCUACAACAUACCCCUGGGGAAAAAAAAGGCAUUCCUCAGCUUCUACAAUAAAAACAGAAAGCUCAUAUACAAGAAAGGAAAGAUAUGAUCUUAUGGAUAUUUUCUACACUGCAUGAUGUAGAGUAGAUAGUUGCUGGUAUCAUGCAAGUCAUAGAUUUAUCUAGCUUAGGAGUCGGAUCCAUAUAUCUGUUUCGGUAUCCUAGGUCCAUAUGUAGACUACUCAUGUUUAUAUUCUGAAUGUAAACAGGAGUAGUC
rnacentral:rRNA from 1 species